UUCACUGGCUCCACUGGUUCUUGUUUCACGGGCUCCACUGAUUCUUGUUGCACUAGUUCCGGUGAUACUUGUUCCGCUACCUCUGAUGAUGGGGACAUGAAGAUGCGGAAAGAUACAAAGGGCAAAGGAUGCCACUAUUCUACCCCCUAUAGAAAACAUUGAAACAACCACAUAAUGAUGCAAAAAACAAAGAGGAAACAAACAUUUGGUAGGUCCAUAAGUCAAAACAGGUUUAUUUCUGAUAAAACCGAGACUUGAUGGAUUGGAUUGAAUGGUAAGGAUAUUAUUAUACU